GCCAUAUCAUUCUGAAACACCGAUUCCCAUACGAUCACCGAAGUUAAGCAACAUCGUGCUUGGUCAGUAUCUAGAAGGGUGGACGCUUGCGAAUACUAGAUGCUGUAAG